rnacentral:rRNA from 1 species
UACGUAGGUGGCAAGCGUUGUCCGGAAUUAUUGGGCGUAAAGCGCGCGCAGGCGGCCUCUUAAGUCUGAUGUGAAAGCCCCCGGCUCAACCGGGGAGGGCCUUGGAAACUGGGAGGCUUGAGUAUAGGAGAGAAGAGUGGAAUUCCACGUGUAGCGGUGAAAUGCGUAGAGAUGUGGAGGAACACCAGUGGCGAAGGCGAUCUUG